CCUACGGGAGGCAGCAGUGAGGAAUAUUGGACAAUGGGCGCAAGCCUGAUCCAGCCAUGCCGCGUGCAGGAAGACGGUCCUAUGGAUUGUAAACUGCUUUUAUACAGGAAGAAACACCUCUACGUGUAGAGACUUGACGGUACUGUAUGAAUAAGCAUCGGCUAACUCCGUGCCAGCAGCCGCGGUAAUACGGAGGAUGCAAGCGUUAUCCGGAAUCAUUGGGUUUAAAGGGUCCGUAGGCGGUUUAAUAAGUCAGUGGUGAAAGCCCAUCGCUCAACGAUGGAACGGCCAUUGAUACUGUUAAACUUGAAUUAUUAGGAAGUAACUAGAAUAUGUAGUGUAGCGGUGAAAUGCUUAGAGAUUACAUGGAAUACCAAUUGCGAAGGCAGGUUACUACUAAUAUAUUGACGCUGAUGGACGAAAGCGUGGGGAGCGAACAGGAUUAGAUACCCUGGUAGUCCACGCCGUAAACGAUGGAUACUAGCUGUUCGGAGCAAUCUGAGUGGCUAAGCGAAAGUGAUAAGUAUCCCACCUGGGGAGUACGUUCGCAAGAAUGAAACUCAAAGUGUAAUUGACGGAGAGAGAGCGACGACGGACGACGACGGAGGGAGGAGG
rnacentral:rRNA from 1 species